GAUGAACGCUGGCGGCGUGCCUAAUACAUGCAAGUAGAACGCUGAAGGAGGAGCUUGCUCUUCUGGAUGAGUUGCGAACGGGUGAGUAACGCGUAGGUAACCUGCCUGGUAGCGGGGGAUAACUAUUGGAAACGAUAGCUAAUACCGCAUGACAACAGUUAUUGCAUGAUAACUGUUUAAAAGGGGCAACUGCUCCACUACCAGAUGGACCUGCGUUGUAUUAGCUAGUUGGUGAGGUAACGGCUCACCAAGGCGACGAUACAUAGCCGACCUGAGAGGGUGAUCGGCCACACUGGGACUGAGACACGGCCCAGACUCCUACGGGAGGCAGCAGUAGGGGAUCUUCGGCAAUGGACGGAAGUCUGACCGAGCAACGCCGCGUGAGUGAAGAAGGUUUUCGGAUCGUAAAGCUCUGUUGUAAGAGAAGAACGAGUGUGAGAGUGGAAAGUUCACACUGUGACGGUAUCUUACCAGAAAGGGACGGCUAACUACGUG
rnacentral:rRNA from 1 species